AGACUUAUGAAGAUGCUUAGAUUCACUAAUCACGAGGAAAAAGUAUCGUUGUCACCAUAAGAUAACUUACGGGUCAACAAUACCCUAAGGAUGAUCUCCUCUAAGUGAGGUUGUCCUAAACUUCUAAAGCCAAUGGUUGACUAAGGUCCUUGGAGUCAUGUACUCUCUUUGGAAGAAUGGAUUUCAGUGCGACUGUGACUCGCGUGCCAGUGAAACUCCAAAAAGAAUCUAUUUCAAUCGGGAUAUCCGUGUCUCCCCCUCAAUACAACUACGUCCAACAAAUUGACACAAAGUCCCUCGUAUCUUUUGAUGGUAAACCCUUCCAAAAACGCUGGCAACUCCGCACCGUCAACCAAAUCCAACAAAACGUUCCACAGAAACUUGCAAGGCACCACGUGACGACGGAAGAAUGAAGGAUAGUCCUCCCAAACACCGAGACGGUUUAUCACGUUCUCAUCCGCCAGAGUAAACGCCGCAAUUUUGUUAUGGCUUAUCUCACUGGAGAGCUGUAUACUGGAAACUGGGAUCGAAGAACCAAGGAGGAAGUCGCCGGAAACUUGCAAGCGGUAGAAGCAACACGAUUGAGUGGGACCGAAACAGGUCGAGUGAUGGUUGGCCAAGUUUCUUGAAGGUGGAAUCCAAGGGAGUGAAGAUGGUUCCGAAUGGGUAAAAAUUUCUUCAAAGUUGAGGGAUGAAGAUGAUUGAAAAGGUUAAUGGUUCGGUUUCAAUUUGGAAUUUGGAUGCAAGGACUUGGUUUACAUUGGCUUGCUUGGAAUUGGCUUGGAGUUAUUAUUCUGAUCCUUGUAAUAGUUGUAUUGGUUGUCAUGAAAUAAUAGAAAUUGUAUGUGAUUUGUAUGAAUGAAAUUUGAAAUUGAAAGUGUAAUGGUUUAUGUUUUGGAAUGUAUGGAAAGUGGAAUGAUAUUUGAAAUGGUUAUGUAACUUUGACUAUGUAUGGUUAUGUAUGGAAUUUGAAAUUGAAAUAUAUGAAAAUGUAUAGUUGUAACA